rnacentral:tRNA from 1 species
GCGGGUGUAGCUCAAUGGUAGAGCACCAGCCUUCCAAGCUGGCUACGUAGGUUCGAUUCUCAUCACCCGCUCCA